UGAAGCUCUUGGCCAACAUUGGCCCGCUUUUCUGUCUCAUCUGAAUUGUUCUGUAGUCUCAGCUUUGUUUCCAGUUUCUGCUUCCAUUCUUCUCUGAGCCUGAAAAUAGAAACAAAAUAUACACAAACGGAGUAUUCAUCUCCAUGGCUUUUGGUUCAGGGAAGCUUCCUUCCUUUUUAUUCUGAAGGUUUCUGUGUAUGCAUGUGUGUGCAUGCAUGUGUUCAGGUUUUAAAAGGUGUGCAGAAGACUUGCAAAUUUAAAUAUAUACAUAUUUGAACUCUCACUUCUGUUUGAGCACUAUUCUAGUCUUAAUUCUCUGAAAUUUCCCUUGAAAGUGCAGUAUCUUUAAAGUACAGGAGGGGGAAAAUAACCUUAAAUCUAGAAUUAUUUACCCAGCAAAGCUAUCUUUCAAAAACAGAGGUGAGAUAAAGUUGUUUUCAGAUAUGCAAAAACUGGAAGAAUUCACUACCAGCAGACUGUCACAUAUGACAUGUUAAAGGAAGUCCUUCAAGCAGAUGGAAAAAUGACACCACAUGGAAAUCUGCACAGUGGAAUGAAGAGCACCUGGAAAGACAGCUGUGUGUGUCAGUUUCACUCCACCUGAGGCCUUCUGUGUACUGUCCCGGGACACACACACGUGGUACAGGCCUCAGUGUGGCCUCUGGUGUGCAGCAUGCUGAGUGGCCUGGCCUCGGGGGAAGAAGAUGGCAGGGACUCCCCAGAUGACUGGCCACCUGACUCAGCUUCUCUGAGAAUCCCUGGACAAGAUGCCCUAACACAACGCCUCAGCAGAAGCGUUUGAGCUCGUGACAGGUGUUCCGGCAGAAGACCUCCCGGCGGACGUACUGAUUGUUCAUCCCCUGAAAAAGAAAAUACCAGUCGAACCCCUGUAGAACACGUUCUCUUGGACUCUGGAAGACAUGUUAUAUGCUGGGAAAACCUUUUUGGUUACAUGAGCUUCCUCAAAUUUUAGUGAAGCCAUUAGCAAGUCCUUUAAGAAAAAACUUAUCAGGGCUUCCCUGGUGGCGCAGUGGUUGAGAAUCUGCCUGCUAAUGCAGGGGACACGGGUUCGAGCCCUGGUCUGGGAAGAUCCCACAUGCCACGGAGCAGCUGGGCCCGUGAGCCACAAUUGCUGAGCCUGCGCGUCUGGAGCCUGUGCCCCGCAACGGGAGGGGCCGCGAUAGAGAAAGGCCCGCGCACCGCGAUGAA